UGUUGCCUACGGGACGCAGCAGUGAGGAAUACUGGUCAAUGGUCGGGAGACUGAACCAGCCAAGCCGCGUGAGGGAGGAAGGUACAGAGUAUCGUAAACCUCUUUUGUCAGGGAACAAAGGCGGGGACGUGUCCCCGGAUGAGUGUACCUGAAGAAAAAGCAUCGGCUAACUCCGUGCCAGCAGCCGCGGUAAUACGGAGGAUGCGAGCGUUAUCCGGAUCUAUUGGGUUUAAAGGGUGCGCAGGCGGUCUGUUAAGUCAGCGGUCAAAGCCCGGGGCUCAACCCCCGCCCGCCGGUGAAACUGG
rnacentral:rRNA from 1 species